AAAAUAUCCAAACUACUGAUUGCCAUGGAGAAAGGGUCUCUCAAAAGCCUUCAAGGCAAAACACUUGAAGAGAUUGAAAUCGAAGAUAACCUACAGUUGACAGAUUCAAGUGAAGAAAGUGAGGUCGGAGUGGAGCGUGAGGAGGUCGGAGCGGAGCGUGAGGAGGUCGGAGCGGAGCGUGAGGAGGUCGGAGCGGAGCGUGAGGUCAAUGAAGGAAAUCUUGUAUAUCCACAGAUUGAUUCUAUAGAUACUAGAAUGAUGAAGAAAGUUGUCAAGGAACCUCCAGCACAAAGUAAAAAUGGAGCGGGUAAGGUCAUUGAACCCAACAGAAUACUAAACAAGGAGAUGAAGCCAAGCAGUAAGAAGAAAACAAAUAAACAAUCUGGUAAAUGGUGACAUGCAUACAAAAGUCACUUAAGCACAAAUGUAAACUUCAUGCAUUUUUGAACCCAGUUAUCCACACCACCCAAGCCAGUAUGGUGACUAUGCUCAUCUUUCUGCCAGGGACCGUAC
ensembl:lncRNA